rnacentral:tRNA from 1 species
GGUUUUGGCUCAGUUGUAGAGCACUUGCCUAGCAUGUGUGAGGUACUGAGUUCGAUCCUCAGCAUCA